GACGGGGCCCGCACAAGCGGUGGAGUAUGUGGUUUAAUUCGAUGCAACGCGAAGAACCUUACCUGGUCUUGACAUCCCGGAGACCCUUAGGAAACUAGGGGUGCUUCCAUCUGGAAGAAUCUGGAGACAGGUGCUGCAUGGCUGUCGUCAGCUCGUGUCGUGAGAUGUUGGGUUAAGUCCCGCAACGAGCGCAACCCUUGCCUUUAGUUGCCAGCAGUUCGGCUGGGCACUCUAAAGGGACUGCCGGUGUUAAACCGGAGGAAGGUGGGGAUGACGUCAAGUCCUCAUGGCCUUUAUGACCAGGGCUACACACGUACUACAAUGGCCGAUACAAAGGGCAGCGACACUGCGAGGUGAAGCCAAUCCCGUAAAAUCGGUCUCAGUCCGGAUUGGAGUCUGCAACUCGACUCCAUGAAGUUGGAAUCGCUAGUAAUCGUGGAUCAGCAUGCCACGGUGAAUACGUUCCCGGGCCUU
rnacentral:rRNA from 1 species